rnacentral:rRNA from 1 species
GGGUUGUGAGGUUAAGCGACUAAGCGUACACGGUGGAUGCCCUGGCAGUCAGAGGCGAUGAAGGACGUGCUAAUCUGCGAAAAGCGUCGGUAAGGUGAUAUGAACCGUUAUAACCGGCGAUGUCCGAAUGGGGAAACCCAGUGCAAUUCGUUGCACUAUCGUUAACUGAAUACAUAGGUUAACGAGGCGAACCGGGGGAACUGAAACAUCUAAGUACCCCGAGGAAAAGAAAUCAACCGAGAUUCCCCAGUAGCGGCGAGCGAACGGGGAGCAGCCCAGAGUCUGAAUCAGCUUGUGUGUUAGUGGAACGGUCUGGAAAGUCCGACGGUACAGGGUGAUAGUCCCGUACACCAAAAUGCACAGGCUGUGAACUCGAAGAGUAGGGCGGGACACGUGGUAUCCUGUCUGAAUAUGGGGGGACCAUCCUCCAAGGCUAAAUACUCCUGACUGACCGAUAGUGAACCAGUACCGUGAGGGAAAGGCGAAAAGAACCCCGGCGAGGGGAGUGAAAAAGAACCUGAAACCGUGUACGUACAAGCAGUGGGAGCACCUUCGGGUGUGACUGCGUACCUUUUGUAUAAUGGGUCAGCGACUUAUAUUCUGUAGCAAGGUUAACCGUAUAGGGGAGCCGCAGGGAAACCGAGUCUUAACUGGGCGUUAAGUUGCAGGGUAUAGACCCGAAACCCGGUGAUCUAGCCAUGGGCAGGUUGAAGGUUGGGUAACACUAACUGGAGGACCGAACCGACUAAUGUUGAAAAAUUAGCGGAUGACUUGUGGCUGGGGGUGAAAGGCCAAUCAAACCGGGAGAUAGCUGGUUCUCCCCGAAAGCUAUUUAGGUAGCGCCUCGUGAACUCAUCUUCGGGGUAGAGCACUGUUUCGGCUAGGGGGUCAUCCCGACUUACCAACCCGAUGCAAACUACGAAUACCGAAGAAUGUUAUCACGGGAGACACACGGCGGGUGCUAACGUCCGUCGUGAAGAGGGAAACAACCCAGACCGCCAGCUAAGGUCCCAAAGUCAUGGUUAAGUGGGAAACGAUGUGGGAAGGCACAGACAGCCAGGAUGUUGGCUUAGAAGCAGCCAUCAUUUAAAGAAAGCGUAAUAGCUCACUGGUCGAGUCGGCCUGCGCGGAAGAUGUAACGGGGCUAAACCAUGCACCGAAGCUGCGGCAGCGACACUAUGUGUUGUUGGGUAGGGGAGCGUUCUGUAAGCCUGCGAAGGUGUGCUGUGAGGCAUGCUGGAGGUAUCAGAAGUGCGAAUGCUGACAUAAGUAACGAUAAAGCGGGUGAAAAGCCCGCUCGCCGGAAGACCAAGGGUUCCUGUCCAACGUUAAUCGGGGCAGGGUGAGUCGACCCCUAAGGCGAGGCCGAAAGGCGUAGUCGAUGGGAAACAGGUUAAUAUUCCUGUACUUGGUGUUACUGCGAAGGGGGACGGAGAAGGCUAUGUUAGCCGGGCGACGGUUGUCCCGGUUUAAGCAUGUAGGCUGAUUGUCCAGGCAAAUCCGGAUAAUCAAGGCUGAGGUGUGAUGACGAGGCACUACGGUGCUGAAGUAACAAAUGCCCUGCUUCCAGGAAAAGCCUCUAAGCAUCAGGUAACAUUAAAUCGUACCCCAAACCGACACAGGUGGUCAGGUAGAGAAUACCAAGGCGCUUGAGAGAACUCGGGUGAAGGAACUAGGCAAAAUGGUGCCGUAACUUCGGGAGAAGGCACGCUGGUGUGUAGGUGAAGUCCCUGCGGAUGGAGCUGAGACCAGUCGAAGAUACCAGCUGGCUGCAACUGUUUAUUAAAAACACAGCACUGUGCAAACACGAAAGUGGACGUAUACGGUGUGACGCCUGCCCGGUGCCGGAAGGUUAAUUGAUGGGGUUAUCCGUAAGGAGAAGCUCUUGAUCGAAGCCCCGGUAAACGGCGGCCGUAACUAUAACGGUCCUAAGGUAGCGAAAUUCCUUGUCGGGUAAGUUCCGACCUGCACGAAUGGCGUAAUGAUGGCCAGGCUGUCUCCACCCGAGACUCAGUGAAAUUGAACUCGCUGUGAAGAUGCAGUGUACCCGCGGCAAGACGGAAAGACCCCGUGAACCUUUACUAUAGCUUGACACUGAACAUUGAGCCUUGAUGUGUAGGAUAGGUGGGAGGCUUUGAAGCGUGGACGCCAGUCUGCGUGGAGCCAACCUUGAAAUACCACCCUUUAAUGUUUGAUGUUCUAACGUUGGCCCCUGACCGGGGUUGCGGACAGUGUCUGGUGGGUAGUUUGACUGGGGCGGUCUCCUCCCAAAGCGUAACGGAGGAGCACGAAGGUUAGCUAAUCCUGGUCGGACAUCAGGAGGUUAGUGCAAUGGCAUAAGCUAGCUUGACUGCGAGCGUGACGGCGCGAGCAGGUGCGAAAGCAGGUCAUAGUGAUCCGGUGGUUCUGAAUGGAAGGGCCAUCGCUCAACGGAUAAAAGGUACUCCGGGGAUAACAGGCUGAUACCGCCCAAGAGUUCAUAUCGACGGCGGUGUUUGGCACCUCGAUGUCGGCUCAUCACAUCCUGGGGCUGAAGUAGGUCCCAAGGGUAUGGCUGUUCGCCAUUUAAAGUGGUACGCGAGCUGGGUUUAGAACGUCGUGAGACAGUUCGGUCCCUAUCUGCCGUGGGCGCUGGAGAAUUGAGGGGGCUGCUCCUAGUACGAGAGGACCGGAGUGGACGCAUCACUGGUGUUCGGGUUGUCAUGCCAAUGGCACUGCCCGGUAGCUAAAUGCGGAAGAGAUAAGUGCUGAAAGCAUCUAAGCACGAAACUUGCCCCGAGAUGAGUUCUCCCUGAGACUUUAAGUCUCCUGAAGGAACGUUAAAGACGAUGACGUUGAUAGGCCGGGUGUGUAAGCGCAGCGAUGCGUUGAGCUAACCGGUACUAAUGAACCGUGAGGCUUAACCUUACAACGCCGAAG